CGUCGAAAAGUCAAAAAAAUUUAUCAAAAAAUGUUUCCAUUUUUCAUCGACUAACUGCAUUUAGAAAUGGUUUGAACUUGCAGUCGUCGUCAAUUCACUGUUUUUCUUGAUAUGAACUCCAAAUUUAAAAAAAGAUUUUUUAUGAAACGGCUCGAAGUAAAUUACGGACCCAAUUAGACGGAUGUAAGAUUAAACAGUGUCAUCGUAUAAAUCCUUUGACAUGAAGAUGUCGCAAUAGCCGGCGAGUGGAGUACUCCCCGUAAUUGUAUUCAAAGAAUGUCAUAACGAGCACGAAACUUAACUGGGGAGUUGUGGAGAUAAGGCCGGGAGAUAUUUCGCAAAUUCCGUCUUCACACCUCGCAUUCCAGAAUGGCAUCCCUUCUGCACUUCACUGGGACCAUUAUGCCGUU